GUGCUCGCUUUGGCAGCACAUAUACUAAAACUGGAACGAUCCAGAGAAGAUUAACAUGGCCCCUAAAAAAAAUUCCUAAACAGUACAAUAAUAGAGGUAUGU